CGGUCGUAAGGGACUGCAAAUGAGCGGGAAGUGAAUUUGGAAGAAGGCGAGAAAAGCUGUGUGAAUAGAAGAUAGAGCCCGUACCGCAAACCGACACAGGUAGAUAGGAAGAAGAUUCUAAGGCCAACGGGAGAAGGGUUGUUAAGGAACUCGGCAAGUUGACCCCGUAACUUAGGGAGAAGGGGUGCUCUUUAAGGAGAGCCGCAGAGAAUAGGCCCAAGCGACUGUUUAGCAAAAACACAGCUCUAUGCUAAAUCGAAAGAUGACGUAUAUGGGGUGACACCUGCCCGGUGCCGGAAGGUUAAGAGGAGGAGCGAGAGCUCUGAAUUGAAGCCCCGGUAAACGGCGGCCGUAACGAUAACGGUCCUAAGGUAGCGAAAUUCCUUGUCAGGUAAGUUCUGACCCGCACGAAUGGUGUAACGAUUUGGGCACUGUCUCAACAACCUGCCCGGCGAAAUUGUAGUACCGGUGAAGAUGCCGGUUACCCGCGACUAGACGGAAAGACCCCAUGGAGCUUUACUGCAGCUUAAUAUUGAAUUUCGGUAUUUCAUGUACAGGAUAGGUGGGAGACAGGGAACCAUAGGCGUCAGCUUAUGGGGAGUCGACCUUGGGAUACCACUCUUGAGGUGCUGGAAUUCUAACCUGUGGCUCUGAAUCGAGUCAGGGGACAUUGUUAGGCGGGCAGUUUGACUGGGGCGGUCGCCUCCAAAAAGGUAACGGAGGCGCUCAAAGGUUCGCUCAGCAUGGAUGGAAACCAUGCUUUUGAGUGUAAACGCAAAAGCGAGCCUAACUGCGAGACUGACGGGUCGAGCAGUAACGAAAGUUGGAGUUAGUGAUCCGGCGGUAUGUGAGUGGAAAUGCCGUCGCUCAACGGAUAAAAGCUACCCUGGAUAACAGGCUGAUCUCCCCCAAGAGUCCACAUCGACGGGGAGGUUUGGCACCUCGAUGUCGGCUCAUCGCAUCCUGGGGCUGAAUUCGGUCCCAAGGGUUUGGCUGUUCGCCAAUUAAAGCGGUACGCGAGCUGGGUUCAGAACGUCGUGAGACAGUUCGGUCCCUAUCUGUCGUGGGCGUAGGAUAUUUGAAAGGAGCUGUCCCUAGUACGAGAGGACCGGGAUGGACGCACCGCUGGUGCACCAGUUGUCAUGCCAAUGGCACAGCUGGGCAGCUAUGUGCGGAACGGAUAAACGCUGAAGGCAUCUAAGCGUGAAGCCGACCUUAAGAUAAGAUAUCCCUCCGUAAGAGUAAGACCUCUCAUAGACUAUGAGUUUGAUAGGCCUAAGGUGUAAGCACAGUGAUGUGUUCAGCCUGCAGGUACUAAUCGGUCGAGGGCUUUUCC
rnacentral:rRNA from 1 species